rnacentral:lncRNA from 1 species
UUAGAUGUAUGGGAAGAACUGUUGCAUACGAGAAAUAAGUUAUGAAAUAGGCAUGCACAUGCAAUAAAACUCUUAGAUCUAAGUGGUUGUAGUAGGGAUAAGGAUCUCCAGCUUGAAAGAAAAGACAUUAAUUGUGUUAUUUUAGUGAAUGGUCAAGAGACUGACGAGAGAUGGAAGAAGGAGAUGAAAGAACGAGGCUGCGGUUUUUAAUCAAAUGGCGAUAUACAUCGGGGAAGAGUGGGUGGGGAAGGCAAGGGUUCUUGAUGAAACAGCGCUGCAAGCAGAGACGGGAGUCAGCUGUAAUGUAUCGAAAGAAGGUGGGCAGAAAAAUGAAGCAAUGUGGGCGCUGUGGGUUGUGAACAAAUAGAGCUGCGAGUUAAGAAGGGAGUUGGAGGACGGAUGUGGGGGAGAAAGGACUGCAGUAAUGCUUGACUAUCUAAUUAAUUCAUUUCUGCGCAGCUAAAAUGUUAGGAAAUAGCUGACUGAACUCUCCAGUAUAUCUUGAACAUGUAUAUUUUGUAAGCAGUAGGUUAGUAGUAGUUAAAAACUAAUAUAUGUGUUCAUGGGUCCAUCUCUUGUAAAAAUUGUUUCUCAUAUGAAACGUAUUAUAUCAUUGAUUGAAAAAGUUGCGUUUCACAGAGAGAAUCUGAAGUGUAAAAAUCAAGAAAUGUUUUAUGAUGCUAACCCUAUCACAUAUAAUAAAUAUUCCCAGUAGUGCUGCUAAUUGUUUCGAACAAGUGGCUCUUGAUGACAAAUUAAGUUAGAUCGUGACUAUAUUGAAGGACCAUGCGGAAACAAUGUAUUUCAGUACAUCUGAUUCACAAAUUCAGUUAUCUGAUGAACAGAUCUUACGCAGGAAUGUGAUAAUUGCAGUUAUAAUGACUCAGAUUUAAUUGUUGAUGACAAAUGCACAAUGAAGACUCUAACUAAGCAUGUUUUUUAUGAUUUGUCAUAUUGCUUUGUUAGCUGCUGCAGUGGCAGACUGGCUAACAAUCCUAGAAUUUUGAACGCUCAUUCAUUUAUUGAGUUUACUGACAUGUAUGACUUGACUUAUUUAUUGAAACUCUCUGAGACAGCUUUGGAAAUGACAUGUGUGAAGUAACAAGGACUCGGGUAAAGCAAUAAAAGGAUAGGACGAUCGAUACUUGAAGUUCGAUGACUGAUCACUUGCUGUUGCUUUCCUACCUCAUAGAUUUUAUCGUAUUUUAUUUUUCGCUGUUUCGUUUCUGCAGCUCUGGACUGCUAUUUUAUACCAUUCAAUUGAACCUGUCCAUAAAAAUAACAUUUGGAAAAUAAAAAGGUGGUCUUUCCU